AUUGAACGCUGGCGGCAGGCCUAACACAUGCAAGUCGAACGACCGGCGCACGGGUGAGUAACACGUAUCCAACCUGCCAUUUACUCGGGGAUAGCCUUUCGAAAGAACGAUUAAUACCCGAAAUAAAGGAUGGGGAUGCGUUCCAUUAGGUUGUUGGUGAGGUAACUGCCCACCAAGACUUCGAUGGAUAGGGGUUAUGAGAGGAAGGCCCACCACAUUGGAACUAAGACACGGUCCAUACUGCGACGGGAGGCAGGAGUGAGGAAUAGUGGGCAAUGGGCGUUAGCGUGAACCAGCCACGUAGCGUGAGGGAUGAAGGGUUAUGGGACUAAACCUUCUUGUAUAUAAGGAUAUGUAUUAUAUGAAUAAGGAUCGGCUAACUCCGUGCCAGCAGCCGCGGUAAUUC
rnacentral:rRNA from 1 species